GAAAAAGCACUUUUAGGGCUACGGCCCUAACGGUCUUUAGCAAGGUGCCUGUAUCGCGCUAAUGACUGUCACUCAGAACAGGAUCGCCAAGCGGCUUACUCAGGGUCGUUUCGUUAAACUUUACUGAGCUCGCCAACCACGUCCUGCCCGUUGGGCUGUGGAAGGUUAAACUAAUUAACGGAUUCUAAGCAUGUAGAGCCGAUGGCAGAGUGCUGACGGACGCGGGUUCAAUUCCCGCCGUCUCCACCA
rnacentral:tmRNA from 1 species